rnacentral:pre_miRNA from 1 species
AGGAGGAACAGCCCCAGUGGCGGGGCAGCUCUGGAGCCCUGGAGUCAGCCCCCGCGGUAGCUCUGGAGCUCUCCGUCUGCAGGGCCUGGAGGCUCCGGGGCGGG